GUGCUCACUCAGCAGCACAUACACUAAAAUUGGAAUGAUACAUUGAGGGGUAGCAUGGCCCCUGUGCAAGGAUGGCAUGUAAAUUUGUGAAGCAUUCCAUAUUAAA